UGCCUUGAGCUCUGAGGGAGCAGACAGAAUUCAGGAUGGAGUCAGUCCUGCUGAUGUCCCAUGUCACCUAAUGAGCACUGGCUUGUCACCUGACAUAAGAGGUCAGAAGAAGGAGAGUGAGGAUCACAGGAAGGUGGACUAGGCAGCCGGAUACGGACAAUAGGACAACCACGAUACAACAAGGGAGCUGCG